CUUGAUGAUCUGCUCACGCUGCUGAGGCUCGUAGAAAGACACCGCUGCUCUCGGUUCUGGACCGGUCACGUCUCCCUCAGCGGGCUCCUCCUCUCCAUCAGUUGGUCCCGCCCCCACACCAGAGCAGGACGCUUCAGAUGCUGCUCUAGUGGGGACAUUUCUGGGUUACUGAUGAACAGCUGUGCAACCCCGUAAACUUUUUUCUCUCAGGGGAUCAGAGAGGAGGACUGAAGUUGGUGAUGAGCAGAGAUCAGGCUGAUCUGGACGGCAGAGGAGGAGCAUCCUCAUGUGCCCUGAAACCUGUGAAGGAGGGGCUGAUGGGAAACCGCCUGAGCCACCUCGUCCGCCUUACCAGAGCCAUCCCCACAGGAAAGUCAUAAGAGGAGGAAGAGGAGGAGGUGGAGGAGGAACCCCAUCCCACAAGCCCUCUUUCCUGUCUGGUACCUGAAAACGAGGGGAAGAGAUCAGCAUUGCAGGAACUAUGGAUAAGAACUGUUUGCUCCUCCUUCCUGCCUGCUGUAACCUCAGAUACAAUCCCUGUUCUUCCUCUGAACGGUUUGGCAUUCAACCAACAACCAGCGUCAAAGUGUCCUUAAGCAAGACACUGAACCCCAUAUGGAUCCUGGUGGUUAUAGGUUACCAGUGCUCAGCAGCCUCCUUUACAUAGUUUAUCUUUGAGGUGCACCUUAAAUGUAUAAAUGUAACUAAUCUAAAUUAAAUAAAUGUUACUUUAGUAACACAUACAUAAAAAAAUACCAUUAUUUUAUUUUUCUGUAGCCAGAGAGCCACUCUGGAGAGAUAAAAGAGCUGCAGGUUGCAGAUAGACCCCUGAUCUAGUAUAAGCACCGACAUACAGUAUUUCUACCAGAAUGUUUGCAGGUGGAACUGUAAACCCAGUUGCUGCUAAAAGUAAAAAAUUGUGGCUCCCAUUGGAAGUCUGAAGACCUGAUGUGUCUGUGGAUUGAGAAUCAAAUUCUUCUACUGAAAUCAUCUUGGAGGCCAGUUUUUCCUGUGGUUGGAGCCUUGAUUCUAAUAAAUCCUCCUUAAGAUUCUU